rnacentral:misc_RNA from 1 species
AAAGUCGUAACAAGGUUUCCGUAGGUGAACCUGCGGAAGGAUCAUUACUGCUUGCUCACAGCGUCUUUCCGGGAAACCGGGGAGGCGUUGGGCAUGCCACCCUUGUCUAUUUAUACCAUUUGUUACUUCCCUCGGCGGGGCAACCCGCCGCUGGGGACAAACCAAACCCUUUGUAGUAAGCAUCAAAAUCUGAAACAAACAAAAUAAUCACAACUUUUAACAAUGGAUCUCUUGGUUCUG